rnacentral:lncRNA from 1 species
UCUAUUUAUUUUUGUGCAUAACCUGACUACGCCACAUAGAACACGUGCCUGGUGCUGAUGAGGGUAGGUAGGGAGGUCUCACCCUCGCCUCGGGGUGGGCGCUGUACAACCUGCGUGCUGAUGGCACGCCUGGCAGGCAGCUGGCGGGCUGACUUGCAGUAACACACUGCUGGUGAAAUGGUUGAUUAGGAAUCACUGAGCAGAACAGCCAGCCCCUGGCUGUGUCCUUGAAUGCGUUGAUACCUCGAAGGAAUGGCAACCAAAAUCAGUGAAACGUUAAGGGGGGAGGUUCGUUGGUUCUUGCAGACACUGUCGUGGUAACUACUUCAUCCCCUUUAGCUGCUGCCUACCAGGGAACAGCAAAGGACAGAAGCAUUUGGCAGCGGUCGUAAGACCUGGAAGGAACAGUAACCACACAGAUCCAGCACUAGCUGCUCUGCUGUCCAGUCCCUGAGCAGCCUUGCAGGAGGGGCUGCUGGAAAGCAGAUCCCCUUCCCACUCGAGGCCUCAUCCUGUGCUCCAGGUGCUCCCAGGGUACAGGCAUUAUCUUUGGCGGGAGUGAAGAGAGCUCAGCUGUGUAAGUCCAAAGCUAACAGUUUAUGCAACAGAUAGGCAGGCGCUUCCCGUUUGCCUGCCCUGGAGCACUGAGAUAAGCACGCGGUGGUGACAGGAGGCCCUUUGCCAGCUCCUCUCCCCCCAGCAUGGUACGUCAAUAAGAUCCAGGUGGAGCAGCUCUGUCACCUGCCUGGGCACAGCCUGGGCUAUGUGACGCAUCUGAGGAUACCUGCAGGGGUCCGGGAGGGGAGCAGCCUGCGCCACUCCUUCGCUCCCACCACAGAGCUAUCGGCAGAUUUAGGACCUGCUUCCAAAACACAUGGACCCGGGAGACCCCCCGUCUCCAUGUAAGAUCUGCUCUUACCCUGGGCUUCUCUGAACCCCUUUCUGAAGUGCAGAGGCUUCAGGUCAGUUGGGGUUCUGCUGGGUUUUGUUCUUGAACUGCUUUUUGCAUUGCUCUUAAUGUGGAUCCUAUGCAUGUGGGGGACAGAAGUAAACUGUUUUUUUUCAGGAAUGACUGAAGCUGAAGUGAACUGUAAUUCACUUCUCACCUUUUCUCCUUGGUGGAAGUCUGUCUCCUGAAAUGUGAAACUAGAGCGUGAUUGAUUUUCCUGGUGCUGCUGCUCUCCCGACAGUUUCCCGGGGAGGCUCCCACGCCGCC